rnacentral:lncRNA from 1 species
CAAAAUACAUACUAAAUAAAAAUUAUAGUUUGUGUUUUAAUAAAAUAAUAAAAAUAAUAGUAUUAAAUACAUAAGUCAAAAUCCUGAAAAUGAGAAAAUAAAAAUUUAAAGAAAAAUUAGAAAAUAAGAAUCCUUGUAAAUUGCAGUGUUUUUCUUAUUUUCAGAAUUCUUGGUGAUAUCUCUCUUUCCUCAGCAACAUAUUGAUCGUCACCAAAUUAUAAUUAUAAAUGGGUCAAAAAAAAAUUUCUCAAUUUGUUUAAUUUUAAGAAAGAUUUGGCAUUCAAUUAAAUAUUUUUUAUACAUAUACAUAAUUUAAUUCUUUUCUUUAGAGAAUAUACAUAAUUUAAUUCUAUAUUCAUAAAAAUAUAAAUAUUUUAAUUCUUUUGGCCUUAAAUCAUCAGCCCAAUUCUCUCUUCCUCUGAUACGCCCUCCAUAGUCCAUACGCCUUUCUCUUUCUCCCCCUCUUGUACAUCUCGCCUCCAUCGUCUCUCUCUUCUCUCAAAUCACGCCAAAACUUAGAUCCUUUAUCCAUGUGUCACUUCCUCCUUCAAAUCGGAGGCUAUUCAUCGUCAUUCUUGUCGUCCACCUUCUCCGAUCGAACAACAGCAGCCAACUGAAGUUUAAAGAGUGACUUUUGUCAUAGCUGGUUUUUCUCCAUUUUUAUUUGCAAAUCUCAGCGCCUUUUUUCUGCAAUUCACUUUUCUUUUCUUUUUUCAUUUUCUUCUUCUCCAUUUUCUUUUGCAAUUUUCAGGUCGUACUUCACCGUUUUCUUCUUCUGUGAAGAAAAAAGGCCAAAUAAUGUAAAUGAGAAUAGAUCUAAAGGAAAACUUAUUGAAAAAUCUAAUUUAAUUUUUUUUCAACUCUAUGAUGAAGGAAAAGCAUGCUGUAUAUAUGUACUAAUUUCCUAGUAGAUGUUUAAAACCUCAAAUAAUUGAUCACCGUAGAAAAACAAAAACAAAAAGUAGAUCAAUGUUAGUUUAAAUUUAGAAAAUCAACAAUUGUAAAUACACACACAAAGAAAAAUUAUAUAUGACCUGUAUUUUGUUCUUCUUGGAUCUGGUUGAAUGUCCGCAGUAAAAUUUAGAUCUGAAAUUUUGUGUGGAUAGCGUGUAUCGGUUGUUCCAAAAAAAAAAAUAGGAAGAUAAAAUAAGAAUGCAGAUGCAGAAAAAUAUAUUAAAUAAAUACGCAACAAAAUAAAAUUUCACCUAAAUAGAUUGGUUUCCCGCAGUCCUGAAUCACAUAGAAAAUCACAGUAUUCUAAAGCUUUAUGUAAAGAUAUAGAGAAAUAGAAGCUGAAUCAGAAAAGAAGAUGAAGAGAAAUCUGAUUUUGGAGAUGAUAUAUCUAUAUACGUGCAGAGAGAAAUAUAAUAAAUAUAUAUUGUGAGAUAACCGAGAGUGUGUGAAAGAGAGAGAUAAAAUUGUUGUGAGAUAACCGUGUGUGAGAGAGAGGGAGAGUAUCGUGU